rnacentral:tRNA from 1 species
AGUCAGGUAGCCUAGUGGUUAAGGCAGCCCAUGCAUGUUGGGUCUGGAUCCAUUGGAUCUGGUCACUGGUUCAAAUCCAGCCCUGACCC